rnacentral:RNase_P_RNA from 1 species
UCAGAGGGUCGGGCGGCCGCGUCGUGGAAACGUCGAGGAAAGUCCGGGCUCCGCGGAACAACGGUGGCGGGUAACGCCCGCCGGGGGCGACCCCAGGGAAAGUGCCACAGAGAGCAGACGGCCGCGCUUCGGCGCGGUCACGGUGAAAGGGUGCGGCAAGAGCGCACCGCGCGCCUGGUAACAGGGGCGGCACGGCAAACCCCACCGGGAGCAAGAUCGAAUAGGGGCGGCGCGGUACGUUCGCGUGCCAGGGUGUGUUCCCACCCGCUGCCCGGGUUGAUUGCUGGAGCCCGCGUGCGAGCGCGGGCCGAGAGGAAUGGUCGCCUAUCCUUGCCCGCGAGGGUGGGGUGGACAGAACCCGGCUUACAGACCCUCUGACAUC